AUACGGAGGAUCCGAGCGUUAUCCGGAUUUAUUGGGUUUAAAGGGAGCGUAGGCGGAGGAUCAAGUCAGCUGUGAAAUGUAGACGCUCAACGUCUGCACUGCAGUUGAAACUGGUCCCCUUGAGUGCGUAAGGGGCAGGCGGAAUUCGUCGUGUAGCGGUGAAAUGCUUAGAUAUGACGAAGAACUCCGAUCGCGAAGGCGGCUGGCCGGGCCGCAACUGACGCUGAAGCUCGAAGGUGCGGGUAUCGAACAGGAUUAGAUACCCUGGUAGUCCGCACAGUAAACGAUGGAUACUCGCUGUCGGCGAUAUACGGUCGGUGGCCAAGCGAAAGCGUUAAGUAUCCCACCUGGGGAGUACGCCGGCAACGGUGAAACUCAAAGGAAUUGACGGGG
rnacentral:rRNA from 1 species